rnacentral:misc_RNA from 1 species
UAACCAAUCAAGCCUCGCUUGGUGUUGGGGCCCGCACCCGCGGCCCCUAAAGUCAGUGGCGGUCUCUGUAGACUCUAAGCGUAGUAAUAAACCCUCGCUACAGAGCUCUAUAGUGGCCUGCCAGAACCCCCACUUCUUA